rnacentral:ncRNA from 2 species
GCCGGACCAGGUGAAAGCCCGGGUGGCUCUUCCGGCCGCCGAUCCGCCGGAUAACG